UGAGAUGGGGCAGGUGGGAGGUAAAUGGUCUCAAAAGAUGCCCGUGGCACAAUGCCCGGAACCGUGAGCCGAGCUGACCCGGGAGAAGAUACACCAGGUUAAGGAGAUCCUAGCUGAGAUUCUCCUGGACUAGCUGAGCAGAAUCCUCGUGUGUGAAACCAUGUUUAGAAGGGAGUAUGGGUGCUCACAAAUGAUGCCCGAGCCGAUGAGAUGAAGAGCCUUGCUUAUGAGGGCUUGCUCAGAUCAUGUUCCAGCUACAUCUGCUGAUAGAACAAAUUAAGAGAUCAUAACAAAAUGAAUUGAAAUGACCGAAAAUACAGAGUAUCCUCUUUGGAGAGGGGUGACCUAAAAUAGAACCAGAUACUCUUCCCAAUACUACCCAGAAAAAAAAAAUGUGAAUUAUUGAAAACAAAUAAACAAAAUAAAAACCAAACAAG